CGACGGAAUUUGCUUUCACUGACAUUUUUCUCUUCUUCGCCCUGCAGUGUCAGCACAGCUGAUGGAAGAGAGAACUGGUAGAUGCAUUAUCCCUGGCAUGACAAACCCUGCAGUCCCGUGAUCUCCUCCCCUCCUGCCUCCAGUGACCCCCAUGCAGCCCCCGUCCGCUUCCUAUCAUGACCUUGGUGACACAUAUGCAGCCCUUCUCGCCUUCCCAUCCUGCCCUCAAUGACUUCUGUGCAGACUUUAGGAAACACAACACUCAUGAUACAAACAGUCACACUGAAUCCAUGUGAGCAAAGUCGGGUGUGUUUUUAAGUGUUUGCAGGAUCAGAGUUCACAGUGGAAAGAGUGAAUUGAAUGAAGGAAAGAACAUAAGAACGGCCAUACUGGGUCAGACCAAAGGUCCAUCUAGUCCAGUAUCCUGUCUACUGACAGUGGCCAAUGCCAGGUGCCCCAGAGGGAAUGAACAGAACAGGGAAUCAAGUGACCCAUCCCCUGUUGCCAGUUCCCAGCUUCUGGCAAACAGAGGCUAGGGACACCAUCCCUGCCCAUCCUGGCUAAUAGCCGUUGAUGGACCUAUCCUCCAUGAACUUAUCUAGUUCUUUUUUAACCCUGUUAUAGUCUUGGCCUUCACAACAUCUUCUGGCACACUGAAAAGUUAAAUACAAAAAUUGCCUCUAAUUUUUGUCUUUCAGGAAUCUUAGAUAUUACAUGUAACAGUAGCAGAUUUUUUAAAAUUUGAGAAAGAAGUGGAGGUUUUAUUUCAUUUUAUUUACUGUAUAUUUCAGUACGCAUGAGAAAGCUGACAAAGCCUGAUUCUUCUAACUGAGGAUAGUUGUGUGGCUAAGGUGGCGCACUAGGAUCUAGAAAUCCGGUUAAGGAGUCUGACUGUAGCUAGUUGUUGACCAACAGUAUGGGGAACAUUAUGGUUGCAUAUAGUCAUUUGAUGAUGGAUGUGAGCACAAAAUGGGGAAUUUGGUCUAGCUCUAUUGUGGAAACGUUACUGUUGGGCGUAAGAAAAAAGCUUCUUGUUUUCCAAAGCUUCACCUUGGAGCCGAGUUAAUAUCGACAGUGUCCCUUCAACUUUGAACCAUUAAAAGCUGCGGGUGGGUAUUUUCUCAGAACUAGCAGUGACCACAUGAAAAACAUUAUUAACUAAAGGUCAAAGGUGAGAUUUUCAAACGCUCUCCGCCUUGGCUUCAAUGAGACCAUGAGACCAACGGAGAGCACUUUAGAAAAUGUGUCUCUAAGGGUAUUGAAGUGGAGCUCAGACAAGUGCAUGAAGCCAGAAACCACCAGUUAAUUGCCUACUUUGCUCCUUGGAACUCAGACAUUAUUCAUACCUGACUCCCUACCUCUCCACUGUCCUCCUACAUUCCAGCUCACUCAGUCAACAGGAAACUGGUGGGGUCAUUUCAGCCAACUCAGUGUGAGAGGAGAUCAAAUAAAGAAUGCAAUGGCUCAUAUACA
rnacentral:lncRNA from 1 species